CCUAGACAUGGGUGAAAACUACCAUGGUCGCGAACCUACGCGCCCGGGCAUGCAUGUCACUUUGCGCAUGCACUGUGCGUGCCCAUUACGUGCGCUUGUGUGUUCUUAGGUGCCUACAUGGCACUACGUGCACAGUGCACCCAUGCCCUACACACCAGCAGAGCAUGGCACACCCUGCCACGCGGGUCACAUCAUGGCAGCCUUUCUCUUGCUGCCAUAUGGAAGAUUAUGAUGUAUGCCACAUGGCACGCAUCUGAUAGUUCCCAAAGUCUAUAGACUGGGGCCCUUCCCCUCAUUUUCCACUCACUUCCAUCUUCCUUUUUUCUUACAUCCAUUUAGAGAGAGAAAGUGAGGUUUUAGAGAGAGAAAGUGAAGUUCUAAGAGAGAAAAUGGAGUUCUAGAGAGAGAAAGCAAGGAAGAGAUUCGUAGGAGUCACCAAAGGAAUUCUAAAUGCAGAGCACCCAUCCUAUGCACUUCUAAAAAUCUGGUUAUUCACCAAGUGUUGAUAAGGGAUCUUCUAUUUUUGUUUAUACCUCUAAGUACCCUCUUUAGAUCAAAUAACUGAAUUAUGAUGAUGUAUGAUAUUGUUUACUACCUUAUCGUAUUUUAAAAACAUGUGUACCAUUGUGUUACAUUUUGUUGAUCUGUCUUAUAUUCGUUGAAUUUGGAUAUGAUGGCCUUGUGCCGAAGUAAGAAAAAGAAAAACACAAAAACAUUCAUUAGGUUGUUAUCUAUGAGAGGUUUCUGUCUUUGUUUCUAUUUCUGCCUCUAUCUCUGAAUCUGAAUCUGUUGGUGAACU
rnacentral:lncRNA from 1 species